GCACUGAUGAAGAGUUCCGAACUAGGACGAAACAGCUGUCCAGUAC
rfam:Trichobilharzia regenti genome assembly, scaffold: TRE_scaffold0036941